ensembl:lncRNA TMEM191A transmembrane protein 191A (pseudogene)
CGGGGAACGCCCCUCUACCUGGCGGGCGCGCGAGGGUCGGUCCCGCAGGCAGCGCCGCGAGGUGCUUCGCAGAGUACCAGGCUGAUCCGCCCGGGCCCGCAUCUCUGCUCUAGGCCCUUGGGAACGGGUGAUCCACCCAGCGGACCCAGGCUGCUGCGGAGGCGAAGCCAGGAAGCGCUGCUUCUGCAAGGGGAGGUGCGCGAGGCGGCGCGGGAGCGCGCGCAGCGGGUGCGCAGAAGACUGGAGGAGGCGGAGCGCCACAAGGAGGACUUGAAGCCCGGUAAACCCCGUCCUUACGAGCCCCGCCCCUAGCUCUUCUACUACGGAGGGGAACUGCAGAGCCAGAAGAGCACGGAGCAGCAACUCGCAGCCCAAUUGGUGACGCUGCAGAAUGAACUGGAGCUGGCGGAGACCAAAUGCGCCUUGCAGGAGGAGAAGCUGCAGCAGGACGCGCUGCAGACAGCGGAGGCCUGGGCCAUAUUCCAGGAGCAGACCGUAGUCCUGCAGGUGCGGCCCCACUCAGACGCCAAGGUGCCUCCCGCCUCUCCUCCCCCAGACCUGGGGCGGUAAGUCUCCCAACCCACCGCCAGGACGCCUCCCCGAGGCCUCAGUCCGCACUCUCACCCGCUCCAGGAGGUGCAGGUGAAGGUGAUGGAGGCUGCGGAGGAGCUGGACGCCUGGCAGAGUGGCCGGGAACUGUAAGGGAGUUGGGCUUGCGGGCGCGGCGGGGCACUGUGGGGCCGGGCCGGGCUGGGCUCCCACCUGCAUGCCUGUCCCCGCAGGUGUGACGGGCAGCUUCGCAGAGUGCAGUACAGCACCGAGUCGCUCAUGGAGGAGAUGGCCAGGGCGGACCGAGAGACGCGGCUGUUCGGCGGUCCUCGCGCGCUGGCCAUCAGGCGCUGCUGACGCUGCCGCUCCUCUUCCUG